rnacentral:rRNA from 1 species
ACGGGAGGCAGCAGUGGGGAAUAUUGCACAAUGGGGGAAACCCUGAUGCAGCGACGCCGCGUGAGUGAUGAAGUAUUUCGGUAUGUAAAGCUCUAUCAGCAAGGAAGAUAAUGACGGUACUUGACUAAGAAGCCCCGGCUAACUACGUGCCAGCAGCCGCGGUAAUACGUAGGGGGCAAGCGUUAUCCGGAUUUACUGGGUGUAAAGGGAGCGUAGACGGUAUGGCAAGUCAGAUGUGAAAGCCCAGGGCUUAACCUUGGAACUGCAUUUGAAACUGUCAAACUAGAGUGUCGGAGAGGUAAGUGGAAUUCCUAGUGUAGCGGUGAAAUGCGUAGAUAUUAGGAGGAACACCAGUGGCGAAGGCGGCUUACUGGACGAUAACUGACGUUGAGGCUCGAAAGCGUGGGGAGCAAACAGGAUUAGAUACCCUGGUA